GCAGGAGCGAGAACACAACAGAGGAGCGACGGUGGAAACAGGUGACCAGAACCCUACCUAAACCCCCUGCAAUUACUCCUAAACGCAGAGGGAAACUUUGGAGUUGCACACCUGAGCCCGCGGGGAGAGUCUCUCCCCGCCAUUGGCGGGGGGAUCCAGCCUGGUGCUCGGGGCGCCCGGAGGGUCCCAGAGAGAGACACGGAGGGCACGGAGAUCUCCCAGCUGCCGUUGCCCGCCCCGUGGGACUAGGGAUUGCCGGAGAUCUCGGAGAGGACCGGGGCGGGGGGAAUUUUCAAAGGCCGGUCCUGCGACCCGGAGGGGAAGUACCGGAGCUCCGCCCGGUCAGCAGACAAAACUCUCUGUCUGCCAUUAGCAGAGGGGCCACGCUGAGCAUUCACGGCUCCGGGAGAGGCCCGGAGAGAAGCCCUGAGGGCGGGGCGACCCCCAGCUGCCGUUGCCCACCCCGUGAGGCUAGGGAUUGCCGGAGAUCUCGGAGAGGACCGGGGCCGGGGGAAUUUUCAAAGGCCGGUUCUGCGACCCGGAGGGGAAGCGCUGGAGCUCUGCUGGGCAGCAGACAAAACUCCCUAUCUGUCAUUGGCAGAGGGGCCACGCCCAGC
rnacentral:lncRNA from 1 species